rnacentral:rRNA from 1 species
CUACGGGGCGCAGCAGUAGGGAAUCUUGUGCAAUGGGCGAAAGCCUGACACAGCAACGCCGCGUGCGGGAAGAAGGCCUUCGGGUCGUAAACCGCUUUCAGCAGGAACGAAAAUGACGGUACCUGCAGAAGAAGGUGCGGCCAACUACGUGCCAGCAGCCGCGGUGACACGUAGGCACCAAGCGUUGUCCGGAUUUAUUGGGCGUAAAGAGCUCGUAGGCGGUUCAGCAAGUCGGGUGUGAAAACUCUGGGCUUAACCCAGAGCCUGCACCCGAAACUGCUGGGACUAGAGUUCGGUAGGGGAGCGGGGAAUUCCUGGUGUAGCGGUGAAAUGCGCAGAUAUCAGGAGGAACACCGGUGGCGAAGGCGCCGCUCUGGGCCGAAACUGACGCUGAGGAGCGAAAGCGUGGGUAGCAAACAGGAUUAGAUACCCCUGUAGUC